UACGAAGGGGGGCUAGCGUUGCUCGGAAUCACUGGGCGUAAAGGGCGCGUAGGCGGUUCGAUAAGUCAGCUGUGAAAACCAUGGGCUUAACUCAUGGCCUGCAGUUGAGACUGUCGGGCUGGAGUGUGGGAGAGGAGAGUGGAAUUCCUGGUGUAGCGGUGAAAUGCGUAGAUAUCAGGAGGAACACCGGUGGCGAAGGCGGCUCUCUGGACCACAACUGACGCUGAGGCGCGAAAGCUAGGGGAGCAAACAGG
rnacentral:rRNA from 1 species